rnacentral:rRNA from 1 species
GACGAACGCUGGCGGCAUGCCUAAUACAUGCAAGUCGAGCGAACAGAUGAAGUGCUUGCACUUCUGACGUUAGCGGCGAACGGGUGAGUAACACGUAAGGAAUCUACCUAUAAGCGGGGGAUAACAUUCGGAAACGGGUGCUAAUACCGCAUAAUAUCUUCCUCCGCAUGGAAGAAGAUUGAAAGACGGCUCUGCUGUCACUUAUAGAUGACCUUGCGGUGCAUUAGUUAGUUGGUGGGGUAACGGCCUACCAAGACGAUGAUGCAUAGCCGACCUGUGAGGGUGUUCGGCCACAUUGGGACUGAGACACGGCACAAACUCCUACGGGAGGCAGAAGUAGGGAAUCUUCCGCAAUGGGCGAAAGCCUGACGGAGCAAUGCCGCGUGAGUGAAGAAGGCCUUCGGGUCGUAAAACUCUGUUAUAAGAGAAGAACAAAGUGUAGAGUAACUGCUACAGUCUUGACGGUAUCUUAUCAGAAAGCCACGGCUAACUACGUGCCAGCCGCCGCCGGUAA